CGCGUAGGCGGCCUGGGCAGUCCUGGGUGAAAGCCCCCGGCUCAACCGGGGAAGGGCCUGGGAAACCACUGGGCUGGAGUGCUGGAGAGGGAGGCGGAAUUCCUGGUGUAGCGGUGAAAUGCGUAGAGAUCAGGAGGAACAUCGGCGGCGAAGGCGGCCUUCUGGACAGACACUGACGCUGAGGCGCGAAAGCCGGGGGAGCAAACAG
rnacentral:rRNA from 1 species